rnacentral:rRNA from 1 species
AUUGAACGCUGGCGGCAGGCCUAACACAUGCAAGUCGAGCGGGGUUUUCGGACCUAGCGGCGGACGGGCGAGUAAUGCGUAGGAAGCUACCCGAUAGAGGGGGAUACCAGUUGGAAACGACUGUUAAUACCGCAUAAUGUCUACGGACCAAAGUGUGGGACCUUCGGGCCACAUGCUAUCGGAUGCGCCUACGUGGGAUUAGCUAGUUGGCAAGGUAAUGGCUCACCAAGGCGACGAUCCCUAGCUGGUUCGAGAGGAUGAUCAGCCACACUGGAACUGAGGCACGGUCCAGACUGCUACGGGAGGCAGCAGUGGGGAAUAUUGGACAAUGGGCGCCAGCCUGAUCCAGCCAUGCCGAGUGUGUGCAGAAGGCCUUCGGGUUGUAAAGCACCUUCAGUAGGGAGGAAGCGUUGUGUGUUAAUAGUACACAGCGUUGACGUUCCCUACAGAAGAAGCACCGGCUAACUCUGUGCCAGCCGCCACAGUAAAAC